rnacentral:rRNA from 1 species
GAGUAACACGUGAGUAACCUGCCCCGGACUCUGGGAUAAGCAUUCGAAAGGGUGUCUAAUACUGGAUAGGACUCCUGCCUGCAUGGGUGGGGGUGGAAAGAUUUUUUGGUUCGGGAUGGGCUCGCGGCCUAUCAGCUUGUUGGUGGGGUGAUGGCCUACCAAGGCUUUUAUGGGUAGCCGGCCUGAGAGGGCGACCGGCCACACUGGGACUGAGAUACGGCCCAGACUCCUACGGGAGGCAGCAGUGGGGAAUAUUGCGCAAUGGGCGGAAGCCUGACGCAGCAACGCCGCGUGCGGGAUGACGGCCUUCGGGUUGUAAACCGCUUUCACCCAUGACGAAGAUUUUUUUGACGGUAGUGGGAGAAGAAGCACCGGCCAACUACGUGCCAGCAGCCGCGGUGAUACGUAGGGUGCGAGCGUUGUCCGGAAUUAUUGGGCGUAAAGAGCUUGUAGGCGGUUUGUCGCGUCGGAAGUGAAAACUCGGGGCUUAACUUCGAGCUUGCUUCCGAUACGGGCUGACUAGAGGAAGUUAGGGGGAGACGGAAUUCCUGGUGGAGCGGUGGG